rnacentral:rRNA from 1 species
UUAGGAAUAUUGGACAAUGGGGGAAACCCUGAUCCAGCCAUGCCGCGUGUGUGAUGAAGGCCUUAGGGUUGUAAAGCACUUUCGUUGGGGAUGAUAAUGACCGUACCCAAAGAAGAAGCCACGGCUAAAUUCGUGCCAGCAGCCGCGGUAAUACGAAUGUGGCAAGCGUUGUUCGGAAUCACUGGGCGUAAAGAAUGCGUAGGCGGCUUGACAAGUCGAGAGUGAAAUCCCAGGGCUUAACCCUGGAACUGCUUUCGAAACUGUUUUGCUAGAGUCCCGGAGGGGUUGGCGGAAUUCCGAGUGUAGAGGUGAAAUUCGCAGAUAUUCGGAGGAACACCAGUGGCGUAGGCGGCCAACUGGACGGGAACUGACGCUGAGGCAUGAAAGUGUGGGGAUCAAACA